GACGAACGCUGGCGGCGUGCCUAAUACAUGCAAGUCGAGCGAAAAGACGAGGAGCUUGCUCGUCUGACGUUAGCGGAGGACGGGUGAGACACACGUGGAUAAUCUCCCUAUAAGACUGGGAUAAUCUCGGAAAACGGGCGCUAAUACCGGAGAAUAUAUUGAAGCGCGGGGUUCAAUAGUGAAAGACGGCUUUGCUGGCAGUAAUCGCGGGAUCUCCGCCGUAUUAGCUAGUUGGUCAGGUAACGGCUUACCAAGGCUACUAUGCGUAGGCGACGUGAGAGGGUGAUCGCCCACACUGGAGCGGCGCCACCGUCAAGACUCCUACGAGACGCAGCAGUAGGCUAUCGUCCGCAGCGGUCGAGAGCCUGACGCAGCAACGCCGCGUGAGUGAUGAAGGUCUUCCGAUCGUAAAACUCUCUUACUGGGUGUGAACAAAUGUGUACGUAACCAUGUACGUCUUGACGGUACCUAGUCAGAAAGCCCCGGCUAACUACGUG
rnacentral:rRNA from 1 species